GAGUAAUUAGCUCAGUUGGUAGAGUGUCUCGUUUACACCGAGGUGGUCAAUGGUUCAAGUCCAUUAUUACUCA
rnacentral:tRNA from 1 species